UAUUAUUAGUGGUUAAGCCACUGUAUUAUAAUCACUAUCUCAUCUGUUAUUAAUUGGUUAAUUUAUUGAAAGUUGUCCCUGACCUUCUUUUCUCCACUGCCAAGCAAUUGUGCUACACUUAAUUGGUUAAUUUGUAUUAAAAGUCAAAUUGCUGCAAAAGAAGAUUGGGACUGCCCGAAUAUGUCUUGGAGAGAGCAUUUAAGAAUGACAUUUGUUGAUAAAAGUGGUGAAAAUAGUUCAAGACCGAUUUUAUGUUCAUCUGUAAUAUUUAGCUUGCUAGUUUCUUUUAACUUGUUCUCAAAGUUUCAGGUUUAAAGCUAACAAUGUAUUUUUGCACUUGACAUUAUCAUUCCUUUUAAAUUAAUAUUUCUUUCACUUGAUCAGAUUUGAUUGUUUGCAAGGUUUGAACAAUGCUCCUUAGUUGUGUCUUCUUCUAUGAUAUUUUUUGGGUAUUUGUUUCUAAAGAAGGUGUUCAAUGAAAGUGUGAUGAUUGUGGUUAGUAGGGAGUGCCACUUUGACUUACAUCGUCACAGACUUGAAGAAGAUCACCUCUCAACUACUUUACUGCGUUGCUAUUAAAAAUCAUUAACAGAUGGCUUUGUCUAAUUUUCAAGUUGGCAACUUUCAAUUUCUGGCAACGGUUGGAAAAAGUAUUUAUGCUAUGAUGAAAAUGUGGAUUGAAAGUGCAUCUAGUCUUGUAUGUACAUCGGCAAUAUUGAUAGUGGGUUAGGGUUCUGCUAGUUGCACAUGUUGUGUACUACUUUCCCUUCCCAGCAUUUGUAUGGAUGUACUCUUGAAUGAUUAAUUUAAUGAUUUCUACACUUUAAUGUUUUCUUACAUGUAAAUUUGGUGUCAUUUUGGCUACCAUAAAGCCAAUGGCACUGGCUUGAAGGUAAAGGAAUGUGAAUGUUCUUGAUUGGUUAUUUUUCAAUUAUUCCUGAUAAAUGCUAACUGUAGAGUGUUUAUUGUUUUUUAAAUGUUAGUUUUAUGAAAAGUAUGUUAGUGAAUUAAAAAUGUGUUGAAGUGUCCAAGAGUAUGGCUUGUGAUUAACAUUAGGGUCUACAUUGAAUUCGAUGAGCAUUCGAUUAUAAGAUUUAUGUUAAUAUCAUUGUCUUCUUGAAGAUGUCUUGGUUCUCUCUUAUUAUAUAUUCUUGUUGAAAGGUUUUAUAACUUGAAAAACCAUAGAUGAGAGGCACAUAUUCUCUUUUAGGAAUCAUACAACUGAGAUUCAGACAAUUCUAAUUCUGAAAGUAAUAUCUUUCUGUAUGUGAGAUAUUUUCCUCAUGAUGCUGUUGCACGCAGUUUUGCCAACUACCUAUUUGUUGGUCAAUAUUUCCUUCUUUUAUAUUUAUUUUUGUGUACCAUGUUUGUAGUCUAAUUAUUUGAGGUAGUAAUAUUCCUACUUCUAGAUUGAUGGCUCUCCCUUGUGAGAUGUAGUUUAAGGUUCUGCAACUCUGCUACUAUCCAUCAGAAACACCAUACACGCCCAUGGUGGCUUAAGCUUGAUCAGAUACAUCUUUGGAAGUAAUAUUGCUUAUUCAUCUUGGAAGUGGUAAAGGGAUAAAUCUCUGAUUUUACUAAACUGUAUCCUCUAUAGGAUUCUGCAUAUGAAAUUCUUCUACGAGAAGUAUUAUAUGAUGCUGCAAUAAUACCAGAGUACCCAUUCCUUAAACUUCAAUUUAGAACUGAACGAUCUGCUACUGAUUUAAGAACUAUUUGUUUGAAUUGGUUAUUUGUUGUUGAUAAUGGUAUUCGUUCCUUUAGGUAUAACAAAACAUAAUUCGAGCAUUAGCUAUAGUGUCUCAAUAAGGUUUAUCUGUUUAUUGAAUAUAUGUGGCCCUAUCUUGAUAAGGUUUAUCUGUUUCAUCAACAGUACCCAUUCUUAAGUUAUUCUAUCAACUUUUUUGUUGGUUAACUAUGUUAAUUCCACUGUCAUGUUGCCACAUAUUUUAUUUGAGAAAGAGAAAGCUGCCACAUAUUUUAUUUGGUGUGAUGGGUUUGUUUAAAAUGAAAGGUUUAAAAGAUUUCAAACCAUUGAUGGCCAUAGAUUUUGUUUUUGCCAUUGUGAGUAUUCUGCUCGAGAUAGUUCUUCAUCAUGGAAUGAACCAUUUAGUUCUCAUCACUUAUUGUCUCUUCAUUGCUGUCAUUUCCUUAGCUCCAAUUACUUACUUCUGUGAAAAGUAAUUUCCUCAAAUACCCACUUUUUUAUUUAAUCCUUUUUUCCUUUUGAUUAUUAUGAAUUUUCUCUUUUUCUCUGUUAUUUGUUCUUCGCGCCAUUGUUGGGUAAGUUUUCAACCUUCAAUUCUUAAUUAUAUGUUUUGUAUUUUCAGUUCCUUUGAUGUUUAUGCUCUGUUGCUUUGGAUGUUUCUUUAGCUUGUUUUUCUUUUGAUGUUUAAUUUGGGCCUCAAUAAAUUAGUACGAACUAUGUUGUAGAAUUGUUCAUUUACUUGAGUUGGUGAUUGUCUAAUGUCGGAUUACAUCUUUAGGUUUUAAUUUCUGCUUGCUUUGUGGGUUUUUGUUUAAAAUGAUUACCGUUUGUUUUUUUUUAGAUUUUUAUUUUGACUACGAGGAGGUGGAUAGGGAUGAUGAUUUGAAUUCGGAAUAUCCUUGUUCGUUUUGUCAGGAGGAAUUUGAUUUGGUUGAGCUUUGCUGCCAUAUUGAUGACGAGCAUCCCUUAAAAGCCAACUUUAGGGUUACCUGUGGGUGUGCAACUGGAGUUGGUGCAGCUUUUAGAGCUCUAGUUGGUGGUGUAUUAUUUGCACAGGAAGAAGUAACUUCUUGGUAUGGUGUCGAUAGCGAUACUGAGUCAUCAAAGGAAACAAGCAAUGAUGGAAGCAGUCAUUCUGGGGCAGAAAAGAAAAAGAAAACUAGAUCAUGCUUGAAGCUUUCUCUUAGAUCUUUAUCUCAGUUCAAGCUCGAUCAAAAUGCCAUAUCAGUCUAGGCUUCAAUCAUUGAGCUGCAAACUUUAUUUCUUGCAUUUUGAGCAUUAAUGAAGUGAAAUGAAAAGUGUGAUGUGAUUUUCUUUUCAAAAAAGAAAAGUUCCACAAAAAUUUAUCAUGCCUUUGAAUUCUUGUUUUUAUUUUGGUGGCUUCACAGUUUUUAGUGGUAAAGUUGUAAUGACUCAAGUAAGUAAUUUUUUUGUUGGUAAAAAGUCAUUUAUAGUAGGUUAAAAAUGUAUGGCAAAAUAUUAUUAUUAAUAGAAACGAUUUUUAAUCUUCGCCUGAAAGAAAUUUAACGUAAUAAUCCAUGCAAUAAAGUAUUAAAUAAUUUUAGGUUGCUAAAAAUAGGACCAAAUUUCCCCCUCCCCUUAAUUUUACUCUCCCUCCCGCAAUUUUACUUUGCCCUCCCCUCUCCAUCUCACUCCACCCUCUUCAUGUCAACGAAAUCUCCAUUUCCAUGUGAAACCCAUCCCAAACGGCUGUACGAAUCAGGACCGGCGACCACUGCAAUUUCUCUGACCCACGGCUGACGACCACGCAUGGCGAUCUCCUCUGCUAAGAAAUAGAAAGCUAUUGUUCAUUUAAAUGACUAAAUAUUGUUUACUGACCAUACACAUCGAAUGAGUAAUUGACUGGUUUGAAGGUUUC